GAUGAACGCUAGCGGCAGGCUUAAUACAUGCAAGUCGAGGGGCAGCAGGGUGUAGCAAUACAUCGCUGGCGACCGGCAAACGGGUGCGGAACACGUACGCAACCUUCCUUCAAGUGGGGAAUAGCCCAGGGAAACUUGGAUUAAUACCUCGUAACAUUAUGAGAUGGCAUCAUUUUAUAAUUAAAGUUCCGGCGCUUGAAGAUGGGCGUGCGCCUGAUUAGGUAGUUGGCGGGGUAACGGCCCACCAAGCCUUCGAUCAGUAACUGGUGUGAGAGCACGACCAGUCACACGGGCACUGAGACACGGGCCCGACUCCUACGGGAGGCAGCAGUAAGGAUAUUGCGCAAUGGGCGAAAGCCUGACGCAGCGACGCCGCGUGGGGGAUGAAGGUCUUCGGAUUGUAAACCCCCUUU
rnacentral:rRNA from 1 species